AUACUUACCUGGCAGGGGAGAUACCAUGAUCAUGAAGGUGUUUUCCCAGGGUGAGGCACGUCCAUUACACUUGGAUGUGCUGAGCUGUAUAAUUUCCAAAAUGUGGGAAACUCGACUGCAUAAUUUGUCUAAAUUAAUGCUGAGUGUAACAGAGAUAUAAG